rnacentral:rRNA from 1 species
UAGGGAAUCUUCGGCAAUGGGGGGAACCCUGACCGAGCAACGCCGCGUGAGUGAAGAAGGUUUUCGGAUCGUAAAGCUCUGUUGUUAAGGAAGAACGAGUGUGAGAAUGGAAAGUUCAUACUGUGACGGUACUUAACCAGAAAGGGACGGCUAACUACGUGCCAGCAGCCGCGGUAAUACGUAGGUGGCAAGCGUUGUCCGGAUUUAUUGGGCGUAAAGCGAGCGCAGGCGGUCAAUUAAGUCUAAUGUGAAAGCCCCCGGCUCAACCGGGGAGGGUCAUUGGAAACUGGUUGACUUGAGUGCAGAAGAGGAGAGUGGAAUUCCAUGUGUAGCGGUGAAAUGCGUAGAUAUAUGGAGGAACACCAGUGGCGAAGGCGACUCUCUGGUCUGUAACUGACGCUGAGGUUCGAAAGCGUGGGUAGCAAACAGG